GUGACUCUUCGGAGUUUGCAUUGUUAAAUAUGCUAGUCCUUUCAUGAUUAUGUGAUAGGUGGUGCAUGGCCGUUCUUAGUUCGUGGAGUGAUCUGUCUGCUUAAUUGCGUUUCAAAUUACUUAUAAGGUAGCAAUACGCGAUGAAGCUUUCAAUAGUCCUCACGGAUUCACUUGAGUCUCUCGCUUCGCUAUCCUUUCGAAUGCAACGAACGUGACCGCAACCUCUUGUUGCCUUCGUUUAACAUCCUGCAGCUCGCUGUGGGUACUGAGGGCUUCACUCGGUGACUUUGGGCUGAGCAAUCGGUCUCUU
rnacentral:rRNA from 1 species